UUCCAGACUCCUACGGGAGGCAGCAGUGGGGAAUAUUGCACAAUGGGGGAAACCCUGAUGCAGCAACGCCGCGUGAGUGAAGAAGUAUUUCGGUAUGUAAAGCUCUAUCAGCAGGGAAGAGAAUGACGGUACCUGACUAAGAAGCCCCGGCUAACUACGUGCCAGCAGCCGCGGUAAUACGUAGGGGGCAAGCGUUAUCCGGAUUUACUGGGUGUAAAGGGGGCGCAGACGGCGAUGCAAGCCAGGAGUGAAAGCCCGGGGCCCAACCCCGGGACUGCUCUUGGAACUGCGUGGCUGGAGUGCAGGAGGGGCAGGCGGAAUUCCUGGUGUAGCGGUGAAAUGCGUAGAUAUCAGGAGGAACACCGGUGGCGAAGGCGGCCUGCUGGACUGCAACUGACGUUGAGGCCCGAAAGCGUGGGGAGCAAACAGGAUUAGAUACCCCCGUAA
rnacentral:rRNA from 1 species